ensembl:snoRNA
AACCAGUGAUGUAAAAGAUUCUGCCAAAUGAGAGGACAUGAUUUUACUCCUAAACCGUUCCAUAUUUUAUACUGAGGUU